rnacentral:misc_RNA from 1 species
AAGUCGUAACAAGGUCUCCGUAGGUGAACCUGCGGAGGGAUCAUUAACAAAUCAAACACAUACCCUGUGUAAGCGUCUGUUCCUGGCUGGGUCAAGUGGGGAGUGUGCGUGCAUGAAUGAAGGUGGGAUCAUGGGGGAAGCGGGCAACCGCGGACACCACCACCGAGUCGCGCACGCCCACCAGGAUCAACAACCAAACCAUAUCAUGAUUGUCAGCUGUAUUACAAAGUGUAAUUACAAACAACUUUUAACAAUGGAUCUCUUGGCUCUU